rnacentral:rRNA from 1 species
UACGGGGGGGGCAAGCGUUGUUCGGAAUUACUGGGCGUAAAGGGCUCGUAGGUGGCCAACUAAGUCAGACGUGAAAUCCCUCGGCUUAACCGGGGAACUGCGUCUGAUACUGGAUGGCUUGAGUUCGGGAGAGGGAUGCGGAAUUCCAGGUGUAGCGGUGAAAUGCGUAGAUAUCUGGAGGAACACCGGUGGCGAAGGCGGCAUCCUGGACCGACACUGACGCUGGAGGAGCGAAAGCCAGGGGAGCAAACGGG